rnacentral:rRNA from 1 species
CAGCCGCCGCGGUAAUACGAAGGGGGCUAGCGUUGCUCGGAAUGACUGGGCGUAAAGGGCGCGUAGGCGGAUGGCACAGUCAGAUGUGAAAUUCCCGGGCUUAACCUGGGGGCUGCAUUUGAUACGUGUUGUCUAGAGUGAGGAAGAGGGUUGUGGAAUUCCCAGUGUAGAGGUGCAAUUCGUAGAUAUUGGGAAAAACACCGGUGGCGAAGGCGGCAACCUGGUCCUUGACUGACGCUGAGGCGCGAAAGCGUGGGGAGCAAACAGGAUUAGAUACCCCAGUAGUCCCUGUCUCUUAUAC